GGUGGCAUAGUGGUUAAGAGUUUGGUUGCUAACCAAAAGGUCGGCAGUUCUAAUCUGCCAGCCA
rfam:Loxodonta africana unplaced genomic scaffold scaffold_18, whole genome shotgun sequence.